UAUGUGAUCGUCUCUCGCAUAUCAAUAAGCGGAGGAAAAGAAACUAACAAGGAUUCCCCUAGUAACGGCGAGUGAAGCGGGAAGAGCUCAAAUUUGAAAUCUUAAAGGGUUUCCCUUUACGAAUUGUAGUUUAAAGAAGUGUUUUCUGUUGAGGUUUUGGUAAAAGUUCUUUGGAAUAGGACAUCAUAGAGGGUGAGAAUCCCGUAUUUGACCUUUACUUUCAACUUUGUGAUACACUUUCAAAGAGUCGGAUUGUUUGGGAAUGCAGUCCAAAAUGGGUGGUAAAUUUCAUCUAAAGCUAAAUAUUGGCGAGAGACCGAUAGCGAACAAGUACCGUGAGGGAAAGAUGAAAAGAACUUUGAAAAGAGAGUUAAACAGUACGUGAAAUUGUCAAAAGGGAAGCGUUUGACACCAGUGUUGUUUUUCUGAAAAUCAAUUAAAGAACUGUCUAUGCUAAGCUGUUUAGACUUUAUCAGCUAUCUGUUUAGUUUUGAGCUUUUCUUUAAUGCACUUUUCAGUUAACAAGUCAACAUCAAUUUCUUUUGCUGUAAAAAAGCUUGAGGAAGGUGGCUUGAGAUUCGUCUUAAGUGUUUAUAGCCUCUUGCCUAUGCAGUCGGAGAGAUUGAGGUCUGCAACGUAGAUCCUUCGGGGCUAAAUGCAUUUGUGCUAAGUUAUAGCAUUUUAUAGACAACUUGUUGACUAUGAUUUGUCUUGUAGCUUACUCGCUUAUGUUAUUUUACCUACGCUUAGGAUGUUGAGCGCAUGUCUCUCUCU
rnacentral:rRNA from 1 species